AUUGAACGCUGGCGGAAUGCUUUACACAUGCAAGUCGAACGGCAGCAUAGGUGCUUGCACCUGAUGGCGAGUGGCGAACGGGGGAGUAAUACAUCGGAACGUGCCCAGUCGUGGGGGAUAACGUAGCGAAAGUUACGCUAAUACCGCAUACGAUCUAUGGAUGAAAGCGGGGGACCGUAAGGCCUCGCGCGAUUGGAGCGGCCGAUGUCAGAUUAGGUAGUUGGUGAGGUAAAGGCUCGCCAAGCCAACGAUCUGUAGCUGGUCUGAGAGGACGACCAGCCACACUGGGACUGAGACACGGCCCAUACUCCUACGGGAGGCAGCAGUGGGGAAUUUUGGACAAUGGGCGCAAGCCUGAUCCAGCCAUUCCGCGUGCAGGACGAAGGCCUUCGGGUUGUAAACUGCUUUUGUACGGAGCGAAAAGCCUUGGGUUAAUACCCUGAGGU
rnacentral:rRNA from 1 species